rnacentral:rRNA from 1 species
GACGAACGCUGGCGGCGUGCUUAACACAUGCAAGUCGAACGGAAAGGCCCUGCUUUUGUGGGGUGCUCGAGUGGCGAACGGAUGAGUAACACGUGAGUAACCUGCCCUUGACUUUGGGAUAACUUCAGGAAACUGGGGCUAAUACCGGAUAGGAGCGCCUGCUGCAUGGUGGGGGUUGGAAAGUUUCGGCGGUUGGGGAUGGACUCGCGGCUUAUCAGCUUGUUGGUGGGGUAGUGGCUUACCAAGGCUUUGACGGGUAGCCGGCCUGAGAGGGUGACCGGCCACAUUGGGACUGAGAUACGGGCCAGACUCCUACGGGAGGCAGCAGUGGGGAAUAUUGCACAAUGGGCGGCAUCCUGAUGCAGCAACGCCGCGUGCGGGAUGACGGCCUUCGGGUUGUAAACCGCUUUCGCCUGUGACGAAGCGGGAGUGACGGUAAUGGGUAAAGAAGCAACGGCUAACUACGUG